rnacentral:rRNA from 1 species
UACGUAGGGUGCGAGCGUUGUCCGGAAUUAUUGGGCGUAAAGAGCUCGUAGGCGGUUUGUCGCGUCUGCUGUGAAAACCGGAGGCUCAACCUCCGGCCUGCAGUGGGUACGGGCAAACUAGAGUGCGGUAGGGGAGAUUGGAACUCCUGGUGUAGCGGUGGAAUGCGCAGAUAUCAGGAGGAACACCGAUGGCGAAGGCAGAUCUCUGGGCCGUAACUGACGCUGAGGAGCGAAAGCGUGGGGAGCGAACAGG